CAAAAGCUUGGUCCUGACUUUAACACCAACUGCAGCUCACAUUACACAUGCAAGUAUCAGCCCGCCAGUGAAAAUGCCCAUAUAAGCCACACAGAAUAUAAGGAGCCGAUAUCAGGCACAACAAUUUAGCCAGAGACGUCUUGCUCAGCCACACCCCUAAGGGCCUACAGCAGUGAUAAACAUUGAAAGUAUGAGCACUAAAGCUCGACUCAGCUACAGCUACUAGGGCCGGUCAACCUCGUGCCAGCCACCGCGGUUAUACGAAGGACCCAAGCUGGUGCAACUACGGCGUAAAGAGUGACUAGCACAAUAACUCUUCAACUUAAGGUUAAGCCCUGACUUAGCCGUUAUACGCUUUAGUCGGCCACAAACCCAUUAUACGAAAGCAGCCUUAAGCCCAAGAUGCCCUCAAUGUCACGACCACCGAGACACAAACUGGGAUUAGAUACCCCACUAUGCUCAGUCCCAAACUUUUAAAAUACACAAACCCCCGCCAGGGUACUACGAGCAACAGCUUGAAACCCAAAGGACUUGGCGGUGCCCCACCCACUCAGAGGAGCCUGUUCUGUAAUCGACACCCCCCGCUAAACCUCACCUUCCCUUGCUAAUUCAGCCUAUAUACCACCGUCAUGUCAGCCUACCUUGUGAAAGAUAUAACAGUAAGCAAAAUGAAUCCAUCCAUACGUCAGGUCAAGGUGUAGCACAUGGGACGGGAAGAAAUGGGCUACAUUUUCUUAUAAAGAAUACACGGAUAAGCUAAAUGAAAACAACUUUGAAGGCGGAUUUGACAGUAAAAAGAAACAAUUUACAUUCUCUUUAAACCGGCCCUGGGGCGCGCACACACCGCCCGUCACCCUCAUCAAACACGCAUUUUUAACUAAAUAAAACCUAAAGCACCCACCCGAGAAGAGGUAAGUCGUAACAUGGUAAGCGCACCGGAAGGUGCUCUUGGAAUUAAA
rnacentral:ncRNA from 1 species